GUUGGGGUAACCGCUCAGUGGUAGAGCACUUGCCUAGCAUGAGUGAGGCAUUGGGUUUGAUCCCCAGCACCAAUU
rnacentral:tRNA from 1 species